rnacentral:rRNA from 1 species
AGUGAACGCUGGCGGUAGGCCUAGCACAUGCAAGUCGAACGGCAGCACAGUAAGAGUUUGCUCUUACGGGUGGCGAGUGGCGGAUGGGUGAGGAAUACAUCGGAAUCUACUUUUUCGUGGGGGAUAACGUAGGGAAACUUACGCUAAUACCGCAUACGACCUACGGGUGAAAGCAGGGGAUCUUCGGACCUUGCGCGAUUGAAUGAGCCGAUGUCGGAUUAGCUAGUUGGCGGGGUAAAGGCCCACCAAGGCGACGAUCCGUAGCUGGUCUGAGAGGAUGAUCAGCCACACUGGAACUGAGACACGGUCCAGACUCCUACGGGAGGCAGCAGUGGGGAAUAUUGGACAAUGGGCGCAAGCCUGAUCCAGCCAUACCGCGUGGGUGAAGAAGGCCUUCGGGUUGUAAAGCCCUUUUGUUGGGAAAGAAAAGCAGCAGGUUAAUACCCCGCUGUUCUGACGGUACCCAAAGAAUAAGCACCGGCUAACUUCGUG